rnacentral:rRNA from 1 species
CAGCCGCCGCGGGAAUACGUAGGUGGCAAGCGUUGUCCGGAAUUAUUGGGCGUAAAGGGCUCGCAGGCGGUUUCUUAAGUCUGAUGUGAAAGCCCCCGGCUCAACCGGGGAGGGUCAUUGGAAACUGGGAAACUUGAGUGCAGAAGAGGAGAGUGGAAUUCCACGUGUAGCGGUGAAAUGCGUAGAGAUGUGGAGGAACACCAGUGGCGAAGGCGACUCUCUGGUCUGUAACUGACGCUGAGGAGCGAAAGCGUGGGGAGCGAACAGGAUUAGAUACCCCUGGUAGUCCCUGUCUCUUAUA